UAGGACAUUGUGACCAGAAAGCAUCUCUUGUCCCUAACUUUCUUUUUCUUUCUUUACAGGCUUAAAAUUUUUAAUAUUUCAAUUGAGAGGCAUCUAAGUUUUAAAACUGAAGAUAUUUUAACAUGAGAACGAGAUGAAAUGUCCGCGUCACUAGAGUCCUCGAGAUGGUGAACACCCACACAGAGCUACCAACAAGAGACUGAUUGAGGCUGGGGAGGUGGGAAAGAAAGCCUGCUAUGUAACAGUAGGCCUUCCAUUUCUAGUUUGAAUGCACUUUUCAUUUUUCAAUCUUGCUUCUUUUCUAGCUUCACCCAUUCCUGGAUAAAAUCUAACUUAGAAACAAUGCUUGGGAGCACAUAUUCUCAGAUGACAAAAGAAGUCAUGUGAUGCGGUAUGUUAUCCUGAAUGCUGUGAGUUUUCUAUGCGAUCUAGAACUCCUGGUUAAAGCAGGAGAAUUGGGCUCCAAGAGCCUUUAUGACCAAGGUUUGGUGAUCAAUAAGAGAUGAUAGAAUGGUCUAUAGGAUCAAUGAGGUAUGACAUCACUUUAAGAUUAGAUGUAUUCACUGUCAAAAUAUUAGAGCAGAAUCUUCGUAUGAAAUGAAGUGUGCAUGCCUUUGAGCAUUAAAGUCACCUUUGAAAGUAAUGUUGUGACUCACAGUAAGCACUCUUACACACUUUCUGAGUCAGUGUCUAGGAUGAGUAGGUUGUGUAGAAUGAAAUACCCUGAACUUAUUUAUAUUUGGUAAAGUCCUUCUGUUUCGAUAAACACAAGUAGACUAUGGAUGUCAACUAUCUCUUUGUACUUUCCAUUUAUACAUUCCCUUCAUUAUUUGCAUAUUAUUUGGUCAUAAAACUUCACUCUAAUACUUCAAAGCAUUGACCAUGAAUUUUAACAAAUUUCCCACAUGUGAAAAGUCCAGUGUAAUUGUAAAGUGAUUAUUUGUUUAAUUCUUUCGCAUGUAACACAUAAAAAUGUUUCUCAUUUUUGUACAAAACUGUACUAUACUUGAAUCAGGAUGUAAUGUGUUAAUUAAAAAUCUGUAUUUCAGAACAUA